GUAAAUACUCCUCUAUUUAACUGACGGGGUGAACCAAUGAUGUCAUUUAACAGUUUGUUUGUUGGUGAAGCUUUUUCAGGAGUUAAGCUGCCUGCACAAUGAGGAUCAAACCUGCAGCUUACAGCUUAUAGACUCAAUGAUGUAUGUAAGCAAAAUGGGGAAUUGCCAAGUCUACCUUAAAAUGGCCAUUUGCCAUACAGUUACUUGAUAGACCCAUUAAAUUCCAGUAAAUUCAAAAUGUUCCAAUGUGGCUAAUCAUUCCAGAAAUGCCAGUAAAAAUGAA
rnacentral:lncRNA from 1 species